UUAAUCUUUUUAUUUUGAAAAGGUCAACUAGCAAAAUAAAAUAAGGACUCAGAGUCGGAGAAAGAAAAAUUAGUAAAAUUACAAAUCAAAUUGUCAAAAACAAUUCAAGAAGAAGCCAGUAAUCUUCAUGUUAAUUUUAAAUGCAAACUGGAGGAUUACUAUGUAAUUACCGGUUAACGUUUGUCAGACAAUGUAAUUAGUAGACUCGCUGAAAACACAAGCGCCUUAUUAAUUAUUGAUAAACUUGUUACAAAACUAAAAACUAAUCAAAUUCAAAUAAGGGCACACAAAAAAGAACAUUACAAUUAUUAAGGAUAACGUCCUGGGUAAAUCGAAGAAAAAAAAGAGUAAAUUACGAAAAAACCGUUGAACAGAUAGAAGAAAUUAAAAAGUCAUUGAAAAAAAAAGAAAAAGGAAGAAAUACCUUUUUGUGAUAAUGACGACCGCUGAUUUACAUCUUUAGAAAAGGAGGCGUCAGAGGACGAAGCGACGAUUUGUAUUGAACAAGACGAAGAAGACGAUUUAAUUUUGAAAUAAUAAAAUAGUAUAUUUUUAAGCUUUUUUUUAUUAUUUUUUAUCUAAUAUAUCAAACUGUAUCUGUA